GAAUAACGAUCGGCUAACUCCAUGCCACCACCCGCGGUAAUACUGACGAUCCGAGCGUUUUCCGGAUUUAUUGGGUUUAAAGG
rnacentral:rRNA from 1 species